CGAAAAUUUCACCGGUACCCGAAUCUGCAUUUUCAGGCCGGACAGACGAGCUGCCAGAGCCACCCUGGAAACAGGUUGAAAUUACAGUCCUCGUCACCAUUUUUAGAUGCUUCAAACGUGUUCCAAGCGUCAGACUUGACUUAGGUGUUUCGAAGAAUUUCCAAGGCAUAGGAGUAAAGACGAAAGUUUGGAAAGACCAAAGGACAGAGAAGCGUUGCUGAUACACUUUAUACGGGUCAUGUAAUCAAAGCCAAAGGCUCGUGUAGCUUACUACUAGGAGAAAAACAAAGAGCUAAGGAAGAAUUAAAGUACACGGGCCGUGUAACAUGCCUCGUGUAAAACAUGAAGACCCGUGUAAGUCUCUG
rnacentral:misc_RNA from 1 species